rnacentral:rRNA from 1 species
UCCUACGGGUGGCUGCAGUGGGGAAUAUUGCACAAUGGGCGCAAGCCUGAUGCAGCCAUGCCGCGUGUAUGAAGAAGGCCUUCGGGUUGUAAAGUACUUUCAGCGAGGAGGAAGGCAUUAAGGUUAAUAACCUUAGUGAUUGACGUUACUCGCAGAAGAAGCACCGGCUAACUCCGUGCCAGCAGCCGCGGUAAUACGGAGGGUGCAAGCGUUAAUCGGAAUUACUGGGCGUAAAGCGCACGCAGGCGGUCUGUUAAGUCAGAUGUGAAAUCCCCGGGCUCAACCUGGGAACUGCAUUUGAAACUGGCAGGCUUGAGUCUUGUAGAGGGGGGUAGAAUUCCAGGUGUAGCGGUGAAAUGCGUAGAGAUCUGGAGGAAUACCGGUGGCGAAGGCGGCCCCCUGGACAAAGACUGACGCUCAGGUGCGAAAGCGUGGGGAGCAAACAGGAUUAGAUACCCCGGUAGUC